rnacentral:rRNA from 1 species
GACGAAGGGGGCUAGCGUUGUUCGGAAUUACUGGGCGUAAAGCGUGUGUAGGCGGUUUUUCAAGUCAGGUGUGAAAGCCUUGAGCUCAACUCAAGAAAUGCACUUGAUACUGGAUGACUAGAGGACCGGAGAGGAUAGUGGAAUUCCCAGUGUAGUGGUGAAAUACGUAGAGAUUGGGAAGAACACCAGUGGCGAAGGCGGCUAUCUGGACGGUUUCUGACGCUAAGACGCGAAAGCGUGGGGAGCAAACAGG